rnacentral:rRNA from 1 species
UACGUAGGGUGCGAGCGUUUGUCCGGAAUUAUUGGGCGUAAAGAGCUCGUAGGCGGUGUGUCGCGUCGGCCGUGAAAACCUGGGGCUUAACUCUGGGCGUGCGGUCGAUACGGGCAUCACUAGAGUUCGGCAGGGGAGACUGGAAUUCCUGGUGUAGCGGUGAAAUGCGCAGAUAUCAGGAGGAACACCGGUGGCGAAGGCGGGUCUCUGGGCCGAUACUGACGCUGAGGAGCGAAAGCCAUGGGUAGCGAACAGG